GAGUUUUCCCAGAUUGGUACGAAUCAAGAAACACAUGCCGAUCUCGCGCUUCAAAGGCGGCUCGAUUUCAGCUCCAUGUUCUGAUCUUUUAGAUACUACUUGCUGCUAUAAUAUGUAUUCAGAUAAUAUGGUUCGAUGGACAUGCAUACUGCAUCACAUCACAGGGCACAGCUUCCUCGGCGAGUUCGCUCGCUCGUCUCAGUUCCCUCACUGACUUCCUCGCUCCUCAGCAAAGGUCAGUCGACGACGAUGAUCGUGAGGAUGUAAUGGAGGAGGAGGUGUUGCAAAAGAUUGAUCGAUUGAACGAUGCUGCCUUUGUUCGACGGCAUGGGAGCACUCGACAUCUCACCAAGUUCAUCAUCGAUCUAAAACUUGUCGGCGAGGAAGAGGCGGCGCCGGCGACGGGAGGGCUUCUGACGCGAUGUAGGGCGGAGGAUAGGUGAGUAAACCCCGGCCGGACACGGGCUGAGGAUCGUGUCGCCUCAUGUGGCCGUGGACGCCAGCCCAUGUUCACCAUAAAUUGAUAAUUACGUGGAAUAUCUAUUAUUAUGGAAUUAUGAUAAAAGAAAGAGGGAAGCUAUA